rnacentral:rRNA from 1 species
AACUCGGCCAUUUAGAGGAAGUACAAGUCGUAACAAGGUUUCCGUAGGUGAACCUGCGGAAGGAUCAUGUUGUCCAAGGCGGCCGCCCUCUGGAUGCGCCGAACGGUCGCUCCGGGUGGGUUGGCUAACCCAACCUCUGAUAGUGCGCCCCUUUGCGCACGUUAAACGGACCGAGAGCUCGCUCCGGCCAGCGCGGCCUUGCUGCGUUAUCACAUUCGCAUCCAAACUAUGUGUAAUAGUCACCUUACAACCAGUAGCAUUGGAUCCCUUGGCACGUCAUUCGAUGAAGAACGUAGCAAUCUGCGAUAAGUGGUGUGAUAUGCAAGUCCACAGCUUAUACGUGAACCAUCGAAUCUUUGAACGCACUGCACUAUCCGGACGACACCCCCGUGAUAGUAUGCCCCAUUGAGCGUUAUUUGUCCGUUCGGACGCUCGCUCGUUCACUCGAGCGUGCGGACGAGUUCGAGGUCCACACCCGCAAAGGUGCGCUCCUUGAGAUCCAUUAGCGCCUCGGUUAGUCCAGCGUCUCCCCUGUGAUGAUCUUUGCAGGCCACGUCGCUGGGCAUUUCGACCGGACGCUCCAAAUCGCCCUCCGGGCGAAAUUAGGCGCUCGCGCCGCACCUCGUACAUAACCUCAGUGGGGUAGGAUUACCCGCUAGACUUAAGCAUAUUAAUCAGCGGAGGAAAAGAAACUAACAAGGAUUCCCCUAGUAAC